rnacentral:sRNA from 1 species
UCAAGAGUAAAAUCGUUCAGGAUAAGAACCUGCUGCAGGUUCGAGUCGAACGCAGUGAGACAACGUUGCCUAGGCAACGACCCGCAGGGCGAGCGUAGCGAGUCAUCCUGCACGACCCACCA